UACGGAGGGGGCUAGCGUUGUUCGGAAUUACUGGGCGUAAAGCGCGCGUAGGCGGCUUUGUAAGUCAGAGGUGAAAUCCCGGGGCUCAACUCCGGAACUGCCUUUGAAACUGCAUCGCUUGAAUGUCGGAGAGGUGAGUGGAAUUCCGAGUGUAGAGGUGAAAUUCGUAGAUAUUCGGAGGAACACCAGUGGCGAAGGCGGCUCACUGGUCCAUUACUGACGCUGAGGUGCGAAAGCGUGGGGAGCAAACAGG
rnacentral:rRNA from 1 species